GUUCCGGGGCGGCGCGGGCCGGGCGAGCGGAGCGGGCGGGACGUUACUCUUUAUUUCCACCCCAAGAGAAAGCUAAUACAUAUUACUUGAGCUGUUCCUAUGGCUUUGGCCAUCACUAAUUAUUUGUGUAGUAGCAGGUCUUGAAGGUGCCAGCUGGGAGACACAGCAAGAAGAAAGGUGUGUGAGUCAGGAUUAUCAGUAGGCGUUUGUCCUGAGAAAACUCCAGUACCCAGUCUUCUUGAGAGCGGUAGAGGAGAAGGGUGCACUCACAAUGGCUGCAGAGUUGGAUUUCUCCCCUCCUGAAAUCCCUGAGCCCACAUUCAUGGAGAAUGUGCUUCGCUACGGACUCUUCUUUGGAGCCAUUUUCCAGCUGAUCUGUGUGCUGGCCAUAAUCCUGCCGGUGUCCAAGGCCCACAAGACAGACUCGGACAGUUUUGAGCCUAAGAAUUCAGAGACAGUGAAGAAGCCAAAGGCAACUGCUCCACAGAUAAGCAAGAAACCCAAGAAGGAAACCAAAAAGAAACGAUAAAGGCAUGACUGAUGAGCCUCGAAAGACCAAAUAAUCACUUGUAAUCAUGCUUCCUCAGAGACAACAUCAAAGGCAACUAACUAACUCUGUUAAAUGGUUUUGUGGCAUUGCCAUGUUUUACCUUUCAGGGACAAGGGAGAAGGAACUUACAAGAAUGGAAGGGGAGGGAUUCUGCCAUAGGUUUCUUGCAAGCAAAGAGAACUUCACAUAUCCAGUACUUCAUUUGACAUGAUUAAUGUGUCAGUCACCAUUAAAGUGACUUCUGUCAGUUCUCAUGGGUAGAGAGGCCCCUCGAUGCUGGCUGGGAUUUGUAACCAAGUUCCUGUGGAAGGUGGAGCAUGGGUUUGCUGCUUUGGAUACCAGUUUGUGUUGUGUUUUUUGAAGCCAGAGGGAUCAAAUGGAUCAAGGAUACCACACUACACAGUUUUGUAUUCAUCUCUGUUGUCAUCUAGUCUGAAAUACAUAGCUGCAUUUUAUGGCUUAAUCAUAAUGUCUUUGUCAUAUUCUUUAAUUCUUUAGGUAAUAACUCACUGGAUUCCAGACUACUAGAGAUGAAAGCUUUCAUUUCCCCAGCGUCGCUACCUCUGUCUUACUCCCCACCCAUGCACUCUUCCUCUCUAUUCCCACCUUUGAAAGCAGGUACAUUUCAGGGAAUUGAGGCUGUGGUGGGGAUUGUGAUGGCUACAAGAAUUGGGGAACAAUGUGAUUCUGGAAGGUGCAGAAUUUAACGCCUGUGCUAGUGGGGUUGUUCUUGGAAACUUGGGAAGACCAGGUACUGCAUUUUGGAGAAGAGCUGCUGAGGUGGGAGUCUGGGAAUGCUGCACUGAUGGUGCAUCAGCCUGCACUGCCUCGCUGUGCUGUGGAUAAACCCUCCUGCCAGCUGGCUGAGCCCUGACCAUGGGCCCUGUUUCAACACAGCUGGGGUUCCUUGCAUUUGCAAACUCCCUCCCAGCCUUCCCUGCUCCAGUCUGCUCCAUCUCCUCUGGCUGAAUUCUUCCUGAGGGUAAAUAUGUUCUCAGCCUGGGGAGGUGUGGUAUUUUAAGAUCCAAGGGGUGGCAGGCUGGCUGUGCAGCAUGGCUGUAUGGCAAGAGACACAGACACUCUGUUCCUUCGGGCUCUGCCUCUCCAGGCCCAGGGACAAUCUGGUCUGAGAUUUGAAUACGGCGAGACAGGACUGGAAGGAGUGGAAGGAGAUAGGGGGUGACGUAGCCACGGAGUCUCCGUGGGGCAGCUCGAGCUUCCUGAUGCCAGCUCACAUAUUGGUUUGUUUGAUCAGGAAUGAGUCAAUGGGAGGAGAACCUGCUCUCUGAGGCGCACCCAGGGUUCAGAGCGGCUUUGAAGGAAGGGUUCUCUCUGGCAGGGCUGCAAGUCUGCAAUCCUUUUUGCAUACCCAGACUCCCAUCCUCGAGCCACAAAUGCCCUGUGAGCCCAGAUGUGUGUUCUUGAACAGGAGCUGAACAACCCACUUACAGAAACCAUCAGUGUUGAGAACAGCCACAUUCUCUGCUCGCUCUUGCUUUUGGUGGGAGGGACAGAUAGAUCCCAGUACUGUGUGAUUCUGACCUCUCAUUGCUUCCCUGCUCCAGGCUCUUGACCAGAAUGCUGACACCAAGUUGCACUGCUUAAAAUCCAGCUCAGAGUUCUCCUUUAAAUUCUGCAUUUUUUUUCUUGAGCUACAUGAAGGCAAUACCGAGAGGACAGAACAAAGCAUAGGAGACACAAGCACUCUAAAGUUGCUUUGAGUUCUCAGUACAAAGAAAUAUUACAAAAAUUUCCCACGCAAAUAACAAAGAACAAUGUUUGCUGUGAGUUUCCAUGACAGACCUGUGCUCUAUCUCUGAUCUGCUGGAGGAAGAAAAUCAUUGCUACUGCCCUGGGUAGGUACUGCAGAUCCUUCCUUGCAUUUUAAUACAUGAGGACGGUUUCAUCUAAACUCCAGCUUUCUGCAGGUUACCUAAAGCAGAGGGUUAAUGCUUUAAUAGAGUCAUUGAAAGAGCAGCACACACCUUAUCCAAAAUACUGAAGCACUUCCACAGCUCAGGACCAGUUAGCAGUGGGGACUGUGUGGCUGUUACCUGAAAUAGCAGCUACUACAUCAAUGUCUACAUCCAGCUAUCUGCAGGCUGGCUCACUCAUUGCUCAGUAGAAAUCAUGGAUGUUGGGGUUUGGUUUUGUUGGAGGGAAGAGGGAUUAAAAUAAAAUCCCCAGUCUGUUCCUAACAGCUUUAUACCUAUUUGAAUGUGCUUGUUUACUGAACUUAGAGUAUGUAGAGAUUACCGAUAUCCCAUGUAUCUUAGUUUCUCUUGAAAUGUGUAAUAAAUGUAAUCAGAAUCUCUGUUUAAAAAGAAAUCUGUUUUUAAAGUUGUGCUUCCCUCACAUUUCACUGUGAAAGCUGCCAGAAGUCCCAGACUAUAGGAACACAGGGACAUAAAUAACCUAUUCAUUAAAAUGAUCCAUUAAGGGAAAUCCUUUCAGAUCCUUUAAUCUGUGAGAAAUUGGUUAGUUAAUACUGUCAGGCAUGUGUGCAUCUGUAUCUGUGUUUGUCUUGGAAGUAGCAAACUAUCUCCCAGUACAGCUCCACCUUCCUGGCAGGGAGGAGGAAACGGUGCAGGGACUACAUCAGUUUGCCUCUCAUGAGAGAUUUUGGCUCCGAGAGCCCCCAUGAAGGUAGCCAUAAUAAAGGCAUCAUUUGUUAAUAGUGCAAGCAGGGGAUUAGGUGGGGAUUCAGCAGGCUGUUAAUAGGGAUUUUCGGGAGCCCAUCGGUGUGUGGCUGGAGCUCAGGUUUCCAUGGCUGGAGCGUGGAGCUGUCUGGUGGCUCUUGGCUGCAGUGAGACCAGUGGGGUGGCCAAGCUCUGGUGAACAUCUGUUGGUUCUCUCACCAGAAAACCAAAACAGAGAGAAGGACUAGUGUGGUGACUACUUUAAUUCCCAAGCACUUUUCUCCAGGCUGUUUUGUAAUUAACAUCCCAAAGGGAGCUGAAGACCUCAUUAAGUCAAUUUUAUUGCAGGGGAGGUUUUCAAAGGUCUGUCUCCAGAUACCUGCCAGCAGAGAGCCACACCUUGCUCUGCCACCCAGAGCCAGGAGCUGGCCUUCCCCUGCCAGUGUGUGUCACAGAGUUCCUGUCCCUCAGCAGGCCAAACCUCAGCUCUGAAGAAACAUGGCUGAGAGUUGAGAGUUCCUGGCUUCGUUUUUGGUCACGGUGGGGCAGCUCAGCCUCUCUGACCACGCUCCCCUCGAGGGCCAUCGUGCCCCUGGCGCUGUCCCGCGCUCACAAUGCAUCCUUGUGCUCCUCCAGUGCCAGCAGCACAAUCCCUUGAGACGGGCUAAUAAGCAGCUCGUGACUGGAGUUCCAGUUCACAUAGUUCAAUUAAAUCCCUGUUAAUCUUGUUCAGACCUAAUUUACUUUCAUUCUCAUACACAUGCUUCUCUCUGCUCCGGAGAGAUUCUGGUGAGGUUCCCUGCCCACAGGACUGAGGAGCCCGAGGCCAUCAGCCCCAUCAGAGGAUUGAUGUUUGCAGAGCAGCCCCCUUGUUGAGUCAAUAAGCUCAGAUUAUUUCCCAGCCUGUCAUGAAGAAUGAAAAUGCUCCUUCAGUGCCUGGAUUUAGGGAGAGUCGAGCAAUCUGAUGAUGCUUGAGCAGAUGAUAAGGAAGCCAUAGGAGGGGAGGACCUGCUCAAUAUCUCUGUUUCCCAGGGCACUGCUGAACCAUUCCCCAGUGUGCAUGUGUUCAUUUUUGGACAGCUGAGAGCUGGGGUGCUGGAAUUCUCUUGGGAGCAUCUCCUCCACACUGAUACUUCUUUCAGGCAGAAGUUAUGUUGUUCAGAGCCUGUGGCCUGCAGGGAUUGAGAUGACUGUAUUGAUUUAGUUGUUUGUUUAUUAAUCUCAUGAGGCAUGAGAGAUUGACUGCAGUGAGAAAAUGGGAUGAUGAAUGGAGAGUGCUGGAGUACUGAGCACAGUUGCAUGUUCGAUGAUUAACUUGAUUGCUGGCUUUGACACUGGGAAGGGAUCUGACCCUCCUUCUCUUCCUCAUGCAACCAGAAGGGAUGAUUUGUUUGGGGAGCGUUCCCUUUCUCUCUGGCUGCAGACAUGGGCUGUAAUCAGUGUUUGCAUUCCUUCUCCAGCUGGUGCUCACUGCAGGUCCAAGGUCCAGCUCUUCUUCUCUGGUAGUUUGUGGCUUUUGAGCAAUGGUUUGUUGGGGGUGUUUUCUGGCUUUUGGUGCCUGGGUCAGCAUGCAGUAGCUGCUCAAAAUGUCUCUUGCUUGGGGCUGGCAACUGUGGGGCAAUGAACUUGGCUUCCUGCUUCUCCCUUGAAAUUCAGCUGAUUUUCCCGUUUCAUGUUGAUUCUUCCCAAUUUGACUUUUCUGUCACCGUAAGUCACUCUCAUGACCCCUCGUGUUCUUCCACCCUGUAGACUCAUGUCCGUCCACUGCAGUUAUUCUGUCCUUGUAGCCAGAUUUUACCUGCCAGUGACAGUGGGUAUAACCUGCUAUUACCUGGACUGAUAGAAAGAAGGAACAAGUGGAGGAGCAUCCAGGAUGGAGAAAGGUGUCCCCUUGUAACCUUUCGGCCAGCAGAGGUAACUGCUGGGGCAGGACAGUUCCCUGCCAGGGAGCUGUGCCAUGGACAUCUGCCUGCCCCUGAGCCACAAGGAGCCAAACCCAUCAGGACCACGCUCCCGAGCUCGUGAUGGGUGAGUGGUGUGGUGCUGUGCGUGCUGCACACCACCGCUCACAUCCUGCUCCUCGCCAGCACGCACACAUUUGUCUUGUGCAAUCCCAAACCUCUGGCAAUGCUCACUUCCCUCCUCCCAGCUUCCCUGGUUUCAUUUAGUGCCCAGAAGCCCCAGUGUGGCUUUGAUGCCCCUUGCACCCUGCUUGGAGGAGGCGUGAGCAGCCGUGCCCUGGGACACUGCAGUCCUGCCAAGGAUCACAGCGACGUGGAGCGGGUGGUUGGAGCAAAGGGGCUGACAUAGGUUCCUCCAAGGCUUCAGUCCAGUCUUUCUGGCUGGUGGGUACAAGGUAAACCUGCUUUGGGCCACAUUGCUCUGCUUUUUAAAAAGACCUGUUGCCUGGCUGAUGUCACUUGGUGCAUGUGAAGAUCUCGGCUCCCAAAUGGGCGAUGCUGUGGGUGGAGGGGUUGAAGGGCUCUCACUUCUUCCUGUCUCCAGCUCCAGGCAAGGAGCUCUGUCCCUAGCACUGUGCUCUACUGGAAGUCCUACUUACACAGCAUUCCUUUUUUGUGGAACCUGCACUCUGGACAUCCCUGUGUUCCUUGCCAGAGGCUGUCUCAGCCUCUGAGCUGCACCUCCGUAAGCAUCAAGUUCAGCCAGUCCCAGUUCAUGGACUGGGGCCAUGGAAGGCAUCAGCACUGACCUGAGACAUCUCAUAUCUUGCCCAAGCUACAAACCAGGUGUCCCAGGCUCCAAGGCUUGUUCCUGCUGCCUUCCCUUUGGCUGCUCCUUCUGCAAAAGCCAUCCCAGGCUUACAAAUUCACCUUGUCAAGAGCCAAAGUCCAGAGUACGACAGGCACCGGCGAGCUCUCACAGGCAAAGCUGCUCCCACCGCUCUGGGAACCAGCUCCAGACACUUCCUGCUGUUUUUUGUGCCUCCACUCUGGCAGCCCAGGCAGAAGCUGUGGUGUUGUCAUGGGGCUUGUGGGUCACAUCCUUCCAGCUCCCCGAGGGCAGCUCCUGCCUGUCGCCGUGUGCCGCAGUGCCCAUCCUGUAGCCGAAGGGCUGGACCGCAGCUUCGGGGGUUUGAGAGGGUCCUCGUGGCUGUGGUACCCAUGGAGAAGCUACUCGUGAUGCUGCAGUGGCUCCUUUGGUGGCUGAAGCAGAUGUCCCCCAGUGUCAGGCCUCUGUGGUGAAGGAAAUCCCAGGAGGAGCAGUUUUUGAGAGAAGAGGAGAAGCUGCAAACAUUUCCACUCCCUGUCUCCCCCCAUUCAACUCUCUUUAAACCGAGCACGGAUCCCAGCGUCAUAGGGUUUUCAGACUUUGGCCUCCUCAGCCCAUCCCUUGCUCAAAGGACCGAGACUGGAUGAUUAAGGGGAAACACCCUCGUGUCUGCUCCAGCUCUGCUUGCUCAGGCUGUGGGUGAGCCAGGGAGCAGCGGGUGCUGGCAGGGAGGGAACAUCACAGCCCCGGGGCAGGGUCGCCUGGACGUGGCUACCAGAGCUCUGCACUAGCCAGCCACCCCUCCACUGCUCUGCUACCAAAUCAAGUUGGAACCUGGGCUGUAAAUCUCAUCUAGAUGAGUUUCCACGGGCUUUUCUGAACUGCUGUUUUGAUACUAAGACUGUCCAAAAAGCAGAAUUUCCAUGCUGGGAGAUGCUAACAUCGUGUGUGGCUUUUCUGCUGAGGCAAGAAACAGAAAGUGUCAGAUUUUUGCCCAAAUGAGCUAUUCCAAGAUACCUAGUUCAGAUUGUAUAGAAACAUAUUUUAUCAGUCAGAAACCUGACAGGAAAUGUUCUGCCUUUAUUGAACAUGCAGAUAAUUUCAGCCCACAGCUGUUGAACUCUGAGCCUCCUUAUUAAAUAUUUGCAUGUCACCGAGUCAGUGGUUUCCCCACAGUCCUUUCCCCCGGGAAAUUCUGCAGUGACACUUCCUGGCUGGGUUUAAGGGCCCCUUUUGCACCUUGUGCAGAUUGUCACCACACUGAGGGACACUGAGGUCCUGAGUCCUCCUGCUGACUUCUCAGCCACCCCUUUUUAUCCUACAACCGGUAAUACACUGGCCAUCACUGCUCAGCUCCUGUAGCUCUGAUGCUCAGUGUGAGAGAGAAUGGCCAGAAUUAACAUUCCUACUGCGAAAUAUUGCCAAAUGGCUCGUACUACAGGGGUUAUUAUGGUCAAUCCCCCUUAGUGAAUCAGCUCCUGAGCUUGUAACUGCAGCUUCCCCAACGGGGCUGGUGGUGCUGAUCAUCUCCCAUCACACACUCACUAUUUACAGGGCUGUAAAGCUCAACGAUCGUAAAAUCUCAGGGCAAGAGCCCUGGUUGCCUCUCUGUCUGCCCAGCAUCUCAAACACGACCAUUAUAUUACUAAUAGUAAUAAUUCCUGCAGCUAUAUUUGGAAUUUGCAGUGAACAAAGUGCAGCCUCAGGAACAGAAUCCAACAGACAAAACUUAUUCACGCGUGCCAAGGGGAUGCUUAAAAAUAAAUCUGGCUGGAGAUGAA